rnacentral:rRNA from 1 species
CCUACGCGUGGCAGCAGUGGGGAAUAUUGCACAAUGGGGGGAACCCUGAUGCAGCGACGCCGCGUGGGUGAAGGAGUAUUUCGGUAUGUACAGCCCUAUCAGCAGGGAAGAACAAUGACGGUACCUGACUAAGCAGCACCGGCUAAAUACGUGCCAGCAGCCUCGGUAAUAAGUAUGGUGCAAGCGUUAUCCGGAUUUACUGGGUGUAAAGGGAGCGCAGGCGGCGCGUUAAGCCUGGUGUGAAAGUCCGCGGCCCAACCGCGGGACUGCAUUGGGAACUGGCGCGCUGGAGUGCCGGAGGGGUAGGCGGAAUUCCUAGUGUAGCGGUGAAAUGCGUAGAUAUUAGGAGGAACACCAGUGGCGAAGGCGGCCUACUGGACGGUGACUGACGCUGAGGCUCGAAAGCGUGGGGAGCAAACAGGAUUAGAUACCCGAGUAGUC